rnacentral:piRNA from 1 species
UAGGUGAAACCCUGGCCCAGAGCCAGAAU